rnacentral:rRNA from 1 species
AUGGGUUCGAUUACCGACAUUGCAAGAUCAUCGACUCGAUUACAUCUGAACAUUGCAACCAAAACAUGGGUUCCAUUACCAACAUUGCAACCAAAACAUGGGUUCCACUACCGACAUUGCAAGAUCAUCGACUCGAUUACUUCUGAUGAGAUCACCAAAACAAAACCUAAUGGACUAGAACUACUCCUCAGAUUCAGAACCGGCAAUACCGACAUGCAUGACCCGAGACUCGGAGAGGGAUAUGCGGUGGAUUGUUUCUCUGAUCAGUACCUUCGACGGGAGUACCCUCCACUGGCGCCGCCGUCGUCGCUGUUCGAGUCGCGCUCCAUGUCGAGCGACUCGCUGCACUCCGGCUCCCCUCCCUCAGUCUCUUCGCUCCCGCCCUCCUCGUCGCUGGCCCUCUCGCCCUCCUCUUCUUCUUCCUGCUGGGCCUCCAGAGCCUCCAGGUCCGCCAGCUUCUCUUUCAUGGCAGCAACAUCCCGCUUCUUCUUCCUCGUCUCCAACUCCUGCUCUUCGGCCGACAUGGAAGCUCUCUUCGCCGACGCCGCGCCCGCCUCCUUCCCCUCAUUCUUCACAGCUUUCUUGGCCGAUGCAGCCGCAGCCGCAGAGGCCGUCUUCUUGGCAACCGACGCCGCACCGGCCUCCUUGUCCACCGCCUUCUUCCCCGCCGCCGUGGCCGCUUUCUUGGCCGCCGCCGCGCCCUCCUCCUCCUCCACCACCGCCUUGAGAUCGUCAGCGCCGGUCACCUUGCCCGCCUUGAGGUCGUCGACGCCGGCCUCCUUCUCCGCCGCCUUCUUCCCCGCCACCGUGGCCGCUUUCUUGGCCGCCGCCGCGCCCUCCUCCUCCUCCUCCACCGCCUUGAGAUCGUCAGCGCCGGUCACCUUGCGCGCCUCGAGGUCGUCGACGCCGGCCUCCUUGGUCGCCUCCUCUGCGUUGGCCUUGUCGCCGCCGGCCUCCUGA